CUUAUAGACGUAUUUACGUCAAAAGAGGAGCUGUUUCAUUCAACAUAUUCUUUACUUGUCUGGGCAGAGGGGUGGGUUUAAGUGACAUCUACAGGCCUACAGUUCCUAUGGGCGAUUUAGGAUGUUUAAAUCACGGAAGUACUUCUGUACAAAGCAAGUUACAAGAGUGCAGAAAAGUUCACCACCUUGUCAGCGACUCGUAAGAACUUUACUAGAAAACAACAUUUUCGAACAGUGCAAAUGUUUUUCUGCGCUCUUGAGGUCUUGACCUUGGAUGGGACCUUGCUGAUACAAGCAGGGUCUUGUUGGAGGAACAGCUGGAAGAACAGGUUGUAUACACUACAUGCUUAAACGAGGCGAACUUAUUUCUUAUUCCCUUUUUAGACGAUAGGCAUGGUUCAGUUGAAAUUAUAAAACGCUUUAGUAUGAGAACAAGCGAGCGGCACAAAUUCAGCAGUGGCAGCGGAAAUUAUUACGUGCAAACACGCAGUCACUUCUAAAUACAAAAAUAUAAACGUCGGGUUUUACAGAGCAUAGAUCACGCAAUAUUUAGCUUUCGAAAGUUAUAAAUUAUUUCAGUCGCGUUCGCAACAGCGCAACUCGGGAACGGAUAAACCGAUUUUGAUUCAAUUGGACACUGGAAUUUUUUUUACGACAAAUGCCUUGCUAUUUAAAUUUUAAUUACAUCUGGCAAUUGUAACGACCACUUUACGCUGUAGAGGUAACUGACCUCAGACAAUUCUAACGUCACCGACACCAUUUACAAAGGCCAAGGGUCAAAUUACAAGCAUAGUUCCAAAUUUGUUUCCAUUUUAAUUCGGUGUGGGCGAUCUGCCUGCGAAUCCGAUUCCUCGGUUUUUACUGAACUGUUUCAACUGCAAUGUUACAUAUCUUCGAAUAAGACAAGAUCAUGAUUGGUGAGUAGAGAGGGAGGUGGUCAGGACCAAUUUCAAUAUGCGUCAAUUUAGUCGAGAUUUGAAAAGCGUAUUUCCCGAAAGCACGUCUAAAGCGUACUACCGCAACCAUCUGGUUGUUAAUGUUACUACAAGGUAUCCCAAAAAAUGUAUACACAGCAGCAACUUUGGUGGCCACUUGUCAGCCAGUAGUUCACUGCUGACGCUUUGUGUUUGUCAUGGCAGUGCCCUGAACAAAUAAACGGGGACUUCAGUUCCUUCGUUACGUCUAAUUCAGACCAUGAUGAAACACAUGUUCACAAAACGUUCGUCAAAACUGACAAAUCGAUGGUAAUGCUAAACACGACCGCCUGGUUUCUUUCAAAUGUUUCAAGCUAAACGGCGAGGCAAGAAGAAACCAUGAAUAAAUAAUUAUAAAAUUUGAUGAACCAUUUCAACUAGCAGAUUCCGAGUAUGUUAAAUUUGUAUUAUUUUACAUGGAAGUUUCUAAUCGCCUCCAUGUCUCUGUUAAACAUAAAACAGAUUCUUCAUGUGGGAUUUGUAAAAAUAGUGAAAUAUUUUCAAACAGAACUUAAGAUCACUCCAAUUGUUUAUUAUUUGCAGGCAUCAAACUGAAAGUCAAAUAAAGGUUUUUCGCGACCGCAAAACUGCUUUACAUUCUACACAGAAACUUAGCAAACGCUGCAUAUUUUCAACGUUCCGUUUCCAUACGUUUUAAAAUCCUGCUGUCUCCAUCGUCAGGGCAAUCGCCUCCUAUUAAAAUAUUGACAAAACUGAUUCUUUCUUCUUGUAUCUAACAAAUUCUACGUGACCUCCCCACUUUAAUAACCAAGGAAAAUAGCGGCAGUGAUGUGUAAAAUACUUAACACUCGAGAGCUUUGUAAUAUGAAGGCAGGUCAAACCCAACAAAAGCGACCCUCCUCUAGUCGACCACAAAUACCAGAUGACAGGACAGGCCAUUAACUAGAUGUUCCUUUCAGAGAACUUCAACUGAUAGUCAUGUAAAUUGUUUCAGACUUGUGAGAUUUGAGGUUUUCACGGCGGUGAUGAGAAUAUAUAGGGUUUCAACCCCGAAGAUAGAGGAAGUAUGUUUAUCUGAAACGUUGGCAUCUACCGACGAGUGUGCACGGCGCCAAAACCCAGAAGAAUAACAUAAUGUAACAGAAAUCAGUAUCGCUUUCUGCUUCUAAAAAGCAUUUCAUCAUCGUAAUGUACGCAAAGGCGUCACUACCAGUUAUAUAAAAUGACAACAUGGCGUUUUCAACCACGCUGAAAGCGUAAAACUUCGUUAUAAACUCGCGACCUACUUGUUCCACGACGGGAAAGAUACAGAAUAGAUUAUGAAUAACAAUUAUACAACAGACAUAAUUUCGCCAUCAGACAAGGUCGUUACAUCCGUGACCCACGGAAAUACCUAACCCGAUACGAAUCCCAAUUAAAUUCACCGACGCCAUUAUUAACUAAUUACCAAUGUUCCUGGGAAGGAUUUCUGAAAUGGCAGACGCAGAGACCAGUAUGGUAACUUCUGUUAUGCUACAGUUCACAACGUUAUCUCGAAAGACAGAGGUAAAGCCACCCACGCAUUUACGUAAGUAGCACGCCAUGAAGACGUAAGGACGAACAGAGGCAAAGCUCCAAGUACUCAUUUAUACCAAGUGUAGGUACGUGCAUAAUAGGGUCCGGUGGAGGGCUUUGGUUACGUUGGUGAUGAACCUUCGGGUUCGGUAAGCCAUCUUGUUAGUUAGUAGGUAAGUGAAUAACGUCAAGCUCUAGCUGCUUUGCCCAACAAACAUUCCCGUCCCUUUAUUCUCGAAUUAAUGGAUGAAACACUGAGCAAUGCUGUUACUUUCCCUUGAGUUAUCUAAAGAGAAACGCGAUUCUCACAUCAAGCAUUUCCUGAACCAUUUUUACCUUAAUAUAAUGCGCACAUUCUCUUCGAAAUAUUCCCCAAAAAACUGAACGCCCACAACAUUCGCCCAACGUUCAAUUCUGUUAAGUAUGUUACUGGAUAAUAUUAAAAUAGCUCUUACAAAGUAGGGUAUGAGGAUGUUAACAGGACGCAACUGCCUCAGGAUAGGACCCAGUGGCGAUCCUUGUGAACACUGUAAUGAUUCUUCGCGUUUAGUAAAAGUUCUUCUACGUCACUGUGACCGUCAUCUGUAUAUUACGUCAUUUGAACCAGUUACGUCAUAUUUUAUUCUAUUUCUGUACAAAUCUGUUCAGGUAACAGGUUCAAAGGACUGGAAACCUGACAGACGCGGUUAGGGUGAGUGUGCGUUUGCCAAAGACAGAGCACAUACGUGGACGACUGAUCGUGAAAUUCCAGGAACUCGGUCAGCGGAAAGGAAUCUUGGAGGGGCGAAUGUCCCAGCUGCUCCAGAGGCCAGGAGAAGGGUCCUUUUAUUUUGGUGACAGCCUUGGUAAACAUUUAACAUUUCCUCCUACACAAAAUGGUCUGAAAGAAGGAGAUGCUUUAUUGAUUUCGAAUAUUCCAUCAAUAAAGUCGAAGAAAACCAGGAGAAACUGGAAAUAAAUGAGAUAAACAACCAUCAGCAUACGCCAGACAUAAAAUUCUUGGGUGAAAACAUAAAUAAGAUAAAAGAUACAAAGAAGCUCUAUCAGACGCUAGUUACGAGAAAGCUUGGUACUACAGCAUACAGCACUAUUCUGUUUGAUGUUGAAGAGGAAGACCCAGAGAACCAGGCAAAUAACACAUGGGCUCCUUGAAGAUGCAGGCAGCAAGUAGGCCUUCCUCUGAAACGUCCGCAAACUUCCACCAGACUACGGUGCGUUACAACCCAGAAGACCGUCAUCUUCAGUGCUAAGAAUGCCCGUUCCAUCUUCGGCACACUGCUGCUCCUUCUUAGACAGUUCUUAAAUGAUACAGUGCGUAGCACAUGUCAUCAGGGCGACUGGCAACUGAAUUCUUGGUGGAGGAUCUCACACCGCAAUUCAUAAGCAAACUCAUCAGCAACAGACAGCCCACACUGUUUUAACAUGACGUAACGGUGACAUCAUUUGAAUGUACAGACUCAAUUAUUUUACAAUGUGGACGAAUAUACUAAAUGUGACUUAAUUCCUUAACCAUGAUCAAGGUCGGUAUAAUGAACAGGCUUAAGCCUGCUUCAACAUGUUUCUUUUCAGAAGAAAGAUAUUUGACCUCCGAUCUUUGGAAUAUUUAUCUUAUUCCACGUCUUCCGUGCGCAGUGCAAAAAUGUGAACACAAAAGAACUAUCCCGAAACGGGUGUCCUGUACGUACAACCCGAAAGUUCAACACCGCUAAUAACGAAGCCCGCAGUUUGACACGACACUUCAGUCAUGAAAAGUGCUAAAUUACAGAGUGAUACAAGUAGGACGUACCCAUUCGAAUUUUAUAAGUUUCAUAUUUACAGCCUUAACUUUUAAAACAGGAGUUG